rnacentral:rRNA from 1 species
UACGGAGGGUGCAAGCGUUGUCCGGAAUCACUGGGCGUAAAGGGCGCGUAGGCGGCUCAUGAAGGCUGUGGUGAAAGUCCGGGGGCUCAACCUCGGAUCGGCCGUGGCGACUCGUGGGCUGGAGCACUGUAGAGGCGGGUGGAAUUCCGGGUGUAGCGGUGAAAUGCGCAGAUAUCAGGAGGAACACCGGUGGCGAAGGCGGGUCUCUGGGCAGUAACUGACGCUGAGGAGCGAAAGCGUGGGGGAGCAAAACAGG